rnacentral:rRNA from 1 species
CCUACUUCAUGCAAGUUCGAACGCACAGCGAAAGGUGCUUGCACCUUUCAAGUGAGUGGCGAACGGGUGAGUAACACGUGGACAACCUGCCUCAAGGCUGGGGAUAACAUUUGGAAACAGAUGCUAAUACCGAAUAAAACUUAGUGUCGCAUGACACAAAGUUAAAAGGCGCUUCGGCGUCACCUAGAGAUGGAUCCGCGGUGCAUUAGUUAGUUGGUGGGGUAAAGGCCUACCAAGACAAUGAUGCAUAGCCGAGUUGAGAGACUGAUCGGCCACAUUGGGACUGAGACACGGCCCAAACUCCUACGGGAGGCUGCAGUAGGGAAUCUUCCACAAUGGGCGAAAGCCUGAUGGAGCAACGCCGCGUGUGUGAUGAAGGCUUUCGGGUCGUAAAGCACUGUUGUAUGGGAAGAACAGCUAGAAUAGGAAAUGAUUUUAGUUUGACGGUACCAUACCAGAAAGGGACGGCUAAAUACGUGCCAGCAGCCGCGGUAAUACGUAUGUCCCGAGCGUUAUCCGGAUUUAUUGGGCGUAAAGCGAGCGCAGACGGUUUAUUAAGUCUGAUGUGAAAGCCCGGAGCUCAACUCCGGAAUGGCAUUGGAAACUGGUUAACUUGAGUGCAGUAGAGGUAAGUGGAACUCCAUGUGUAGCGGUGGAAAUGCGUAGAUAUAUGGAAGAACACCAGUGGCGAAGGCGGCUUACUGGACUGCAACUGACGUUUGAGGCUCGAAAGUGUGGGUAGCAAAACAGGAUUAGAUACCCUGGUAGUCCACACCGUAAACGAUGAACACUUAGGUGUUUAGGAGGUUUCCCGCCCUC